rnacentral:tRNA from 1 species
GGGCAUGUAGGUCAGUGGUAGACUGUGUGCUUAGUAAGCUUGAGGCCCUGGGUUCCAUCCCCAGCACCA